AUUGAACGCUGGCGGCAGGCUUAACACAUGCAAGUCGAGCGGGGGAGGUUGCUUCGGUAACUGACCUAGCGGCGGACGGGUGAGUAAUGCUUAGGAAUCUGCCUAUUAGUGGGGGACAACAUUCCGAAAGGGAUGCUAAUACCGCAUACGCCCUACGGGGGAAAGCAGGGGAGCUUGGGACUUUGCGCUAAUAGAUGAGCCUAAGUGGGAUUAGCUGGUUGGUGGGGUAAAGGCCUACCAAGGCGACGAUCUGUAGCGGGUCUGAGAGGAUGAGCCGCCGCGCUGGGACGGAGACACGGCCCAGACUCCUAGGGGAGGCAGAAGUGGGGAAUAUUGGACAAUGGGCGGAAGCCUGAUCCAGCCAUGCCGCGUGUGUGAAGAAGGCCUUAUGGUUGUAAAGCACUUUAAGCGAGGAGGAGGCUACUUUAGAUAAUACCUAGAGAUAGUGGACGUUACUCGCAGAAUAAGCACCGGCUAACUCUGUGCCAGCAGCCGCCGUAACAC
rnacentral:rRNA from 1 species